UACGUAGGUGGCGAGCGUUGUCCGGAUUUACUGGGCGUAAAGCGCGCGCAGGCGGUUCUGGAAGUUCUGGGUGAAAUCGCCCGGCUCAACUGGGCGGGGGCCUGGGGGACUGCGGGACUGGAGGGGCCUAGAGGCCGGUGGAACUCCCGGUGUAGUGGUGAAAUGCGUAGAGAUCGGGAGGAACACCAGUGGCGAAGGCGGCCCUCUGGGCCGGGCCUGACGCUGAGACGCGAGGGCGUGGGGAGCGAACGGG
rnacentral:rRNA from 1 species